rnacentral:rRNA from 1 species
GAUGAACGCUGGCGGCGUGCCUAAUACAUGCAAGUCGAGCGAGCAGAUGAGAAGCUUGCUUCUCUGAUGUUAGCGGCGGACGGGUGAGUAACACGUGGGUAACCUACCUAUAAGACUGGGAUAACUCCGGGAAACCGGGGCUAAUACCGGAUAAUAUUUCGAACCGCAUGGUUCAAUAGUGAAAGACGGUUUCGGCUGUCACUUAUAGAUGGACCCGCGCCGUAUUAGCUAGUUGGUAAGGUAACGGCUUACCAAGGCGACGAUACGUAGCCGACCUGAGAGGGUGAUCGGCCACACUGGAACUGAGACACGGUCCAGACUCCUACGGGAGGCAGCAGUAGGGAAUCUUCCGCAAUGGGCGAAAGCCUGACGGAGCAACGCCGCGUGAGUGAUGAAGGUCUUCGGAUCGUAAAACUCUGUUGUUAGGGAAGAACAAAUUUGUUAGUAACUGAACAAGUCUUGACGGUACCUAACCAGAAAGCCACGGCUAACUACGUGCCAGCCGCCGCGGUAAAAC